GUCUAUGGCCAUUGCACCCUGAACGUGCCAGAUCUUGUCUCAUCUUGGAAGCUAAGCAGUGUUGGGCUUGGAUGGGAGGAGGGUGAACUGAGGCAGGUUACUUAGCCU
ensembl:rRNA 5S_rRNA 5S ribosomal RNA